rnacentral:lncRNA from 1 species
CUUGGUGUUGGUUCACAGUUUUGGAGAAUUUAGUCUGUGGCCAGUUGGCUCUGUUGCUUUGGAGCUGUACACAACAUGCAGGAGAAGCCAGUUCUGCUUGUAGCCAGUUUGAAGAGCAAGGGAUUGGGCUCUGCUGUCUCUUUCAGGAGCAUGCGCACAGUGACUUAACUCCCUUACACUUGGCUCCACAUCUUAACUAUCCUACACCUUCCCACAGUGCCACCAAUUGGAACCAAGCCUUUAAUGCAGAUGCCUUUGGGUGACACGGCCCCGAAUCAUAGCAAUCGUGUAUUGAGGGGUAAUGGGGUGAAUCACUUAGAAGACAUACACAGCAAACACAAGAACGGAGGAUUUUCCUGGAAUGGCGCCAUUCUCUUACCAAGUUACAAUCCAAGUGGAAAGAGUAAACUUGGUUCCGACUGUGUGAUCCACAACAUCUGGCGUCUGGCCCUCCACCCUGAGCCUUGAGUUUCUUCAGAAAUAGACAAACAGCAAGAUGAUUCAAAGGGCGAGAGUGCAAGGCUGUAAAACCACCAGGGCCACGUGAGCGGUGUCUUGCGGAGAAGCUCCUAGUGGACAUCAUCUCUGCAUGAAGACGCUGCCAUCCCUCCGCACGCAGAUGACACAGCUUUUAACCCCGCAUUCCCACCCCACCUUUCCCGACAUGGGUCUGCUACGGGUACCCGC